rnacentral:rRNA from 1 species
UACGAAGGGGGCUAGCGUUGUUCGGAAUUACUGGGCGUAAAGCGCGCGCAGGCGGCUAUCCAAGUCAGUGGUGAAAGCCCGGAGCUCAACUCCGGAACUGCCAUUGAAACUGUUUAGCUUGAGGAUGAGAGAGGUGAGUGGAAUUCCCAGCGUAGAGGUGAAAUUCGUAGAUAUUGGGAAGAACACCGGUGGCGAAGGCGGCUCACUGGCUCAUUACUGACGCUCAUGCACGAAAGCGUGGGGAGCAAACAGG